CCUCAGGGCAGGGGAGGGUGUGAAGCCCCCAGGGCAGGGGAAGGUGUGAAGCCCUCAGGGCAGGGGAAGGUGGUGGGGGCCAGGGUGGGAUUCUGGGCAGGCGGGCGGCCAGGCCCAAGGCUCAGCAUAGGCCACAUGGUGUCCAGAGGGGGUGGGACAACACCCAGGGCCAGACCUCGGGAGAAGCCACGAGCCUGGCCGUGCCCACUUCCUGGGCUCUUUCCUGUUCUUAGGCCUUGGCCUGCUGUGCCCGUCCCCCCUGCACUCCCCUGCCCUCCCCUCCGAGAAGGCGUUCCCAGGACCCCACUGCACCGGCACCGUGUCACCAUGAGGAAGCCAUGCCCCUUGUCACAGUCCACCUUGCCAGCAUCAGGGCCAGGACCACCCCCGCCCCCCAGGCCUCUGGUGACAGUUUCUGAGCCCCUGCUCAUGGUGGGGCAGGCGGGCUCCCCACACCCCACCCCUGGGUUUCCUCUCCCCAGCUACACACGAGCUGGCCACCUGCACAUGCUCCCCACGAGAAUGCAGAAACCCAGGCCAGAGCGAGCGUGGACGUCGCUGCUGGGGGAAGGGGAGCUGCUGGGUUCAGCCAGGCUCUCAGCCAGCUCACCCUGAGGGCAGCCCCCAGCCCAGCCCUGUAUGUUCCCUGCUCCCUCAGAGCCUGAUGCCUCAGAGAUGCCCGGCUGGGAUCACCUGGCAGGUCACGCUGCCGCCCUGGGACCAGCAAGGAUCAGAUGGGGCUCAAGGCCAGACAGCCCUCGGGCAGCAGCCCCUCAUCCGUCAGAAAGCCCCAUCAGAGCACACAGAGGAGACUGCCAAGGUCCUGUUCCCCCUUGCCAGCCUCAGGCUGGUGGCUCUGCGAGCCUCCACAGAGCAGGUCUCCGGUCUGGUCCAGAAGCAGAGACCACAGCGGCCUGGGCUGAGACCCUACCCAGGCAGGUGUUCAUGCUGGCAGGGCCAGGGCUGCUGGGAUGCAGCAGGCGCCCUUGGCCUCCAGCCCCUGUGCUCCCCAAGCCCCGGACACCCACCCCUGCAGCGACAGCUGCCACCUCCGCCACCCCAGCUCUUCAGACCCAGCAAUACCUACAAAUAUUUUUUGUUUUCAUAAACGUCGUGCAGCUUUAGGACGUGGGGGUGCUCAAUGAGC